AAUGAAAGGAAAGUAGUCUAAUCCAUAAAUCUAUUAUGAAUGGAUUGUAACUUGUAGUUUUGUUAGUUUGAUGGCCCUUGAUUUUAACAAUCUCAGUCAAAUAUGAGAUCACAGGGGGUUAUUUGCCCGUAUGUUGACAUAUCAGGAGUUAAUUUCAACUAUGUUUUAGAGUAGCGCUCUUUGGUAAUAGAGCUCGAAGCGUGUGGUGAUAUUCAUAAAAGACUUAUCAUUGGUGAGAGACCUUUAGCGUACAAGUACCGUGAGGGAAAGAUGAAAAGAACUUUGGAGAGGGAGUUAAACAGUAUGCGAACAUGUUGGUAGAAAGCGGAUCAAUUUAAUGAACAUUUUUCUGUGGCAAUAACAUGUASUUUAUACUCUAAUUCUAGAUAUAAAAUAUAAUUCUGGCUACUCAGGGUGAGGUAUAUAUGUUUUUAUUUAUUCUGAUCCGACCCGUCUGGAAACACGGACCAAGGAGUCUAGUAUUGGUGCAAGUAUUUGAAAAGUUAAAAUUCCUUUACACAGGUAACUCAGAUCGUGUUCAUCGUAUCAUUAUGAUCGUAUCGCGGGCAGUUUUUUUUUACCUAGCAAGAGCAUGUAU
rnacentral:rRNA from 1 species